AGCGUAAAUCGGAGAGAAAAAGAUCGAUCUUCCAAAUAUCGAUCCAAGAUAGCUCAAUCCUAUUCACUAUCACUAAUUUGACAUCCUCGAAAGCUAUCCAAAUGUUGACAUUGGGCCUGAUUCUCCAACGCGAAUGGAAUGUGACAACAAUGAACUCCUCAAAGUCACAUGACCCAGGUCACCGUAUCGCCGAAGGCGAUUGCCCUGACGUGAGAGGUUCAUUUUGGAGUAAAAUACUCAAUGAAUUACAAAUGGUGCAGUGUUCAUUGAAAUAUAUGUCAAAGCUUGUGUUUUUUGCAAAGGCUCUAUGUAUUUAAUGUGUUUCAUGAAUAUAUAUUUCUUUUAUUUUAAAAAUUUUCAUUCCUUGUUACAAAUAUGUACAGGAAAUAAUUUCGUUCAUCUUUAUAAAUGUUUUCCUCUUAUUAUAAUUGAUGAAAAAUAAUAUCUCUGGCAUAAGAAAACAAAUAAAAAUAUAUUUUCAAAUCUGUUUUUGCAUAGUCCCUUUGCAUUAAUAUGAGUGUAUGUUAUUUCAAUUGUUUUGAUUUCGUAUCCGUGUUUUGAUUCCGCAUUCGUUUUUUGACUUAGUGUCCGGUGCUGAUUUUAGCGUAAUUAUUGCUAAAAGUUUAUCGGAAGGUUGACUAUUCUUUAUAACAUUACAGUGAACAUUAAUAUUAUAGUCGCCUCACAUAAAAGUCAUCAAGUCAAUUAGCCGAUAAAAAUGAUAGAGCUGUCAAGAAUAUUGUAAUUCCACUGUCCGAAACUGCGCUGUUAUCGUUUGGAUUCUCACUGGAUGAGCCCGGUGAGCACGCAUCUCGCAUCUACCUUAUGGUCAAGCUGGGUCUUGAAAUGGAUAAGCACAGAUACUCCAUCCGCAACUACUGAUGAAGAUGCUCCUCCACUAGUGGAUGACACCGAGGAUGCCCCACACAUGGAAGAAGUUGAUUAAACAUAUACGGUUUUUAACUACUUAAGUAGCUUUUCGUAAUUUUUGAAAGUCUGAUUUGUGUUUUUGGAGAAAGGAAACGGUAUGCUGAAUUGAGUUUCUCGUAUCAGUUAGGGUCAACUAUUGUAAACUUUCAAUUUAAUUUUGUACCGCGUUAUAGCGGCUGCAGAAGAUGUAUAUUCUCGUCAUUAGUAAUAGCAUACCAAAUACUUGAACUGUCUACAUGUUAAUAAUAAAUAUAAAUAAUCUCAAAA